rnacentral:lncRNA from 1 species
AAAAUUGUUAAAUUACGAGCCUAGUUGGUUUAGCCACAGAAAAAGUGAGCAACCUUCCCGCUAGCCAUGAUUGGCUGAGAUAAUGAGUGGGUUGGACAUGCCGAGAAAUUAGUUUGGAUUGGUCUGCCAUAUAGCACGCGUCUGUCUAUUGGAGCUGGUCAGUAUGUCUAGGUAAUAGUGUCGAACGCAGCUUUUUAAAAAAAAAUGUAUCACGUGGUAAAACUGCAUAAACCUAAUGUCAAGUUAAAGUGUACUGUUAGCUAGCUAACGUUAGAUGGCUGGCUCGAUAGCUAACGUUUAUAUGGUCAUUGGCAGCAGAGAACCGGAAGGAGAGGCGGCCGAAGGAGGAAUUGGCUUUGGGGGUGACCAGUGAGAUAUACCUGCUGGAGCGCGUGCUACAGACAGAUAAGGACUGUCACAAUCCCGCCGGUACUGCUGCUCAUUCCGUUCACCAGCAUCAGAGGUCUACGUCGCCGGCCUUCUUGGCGUCACUGAACUGGAUUCAUUACAACCAACCCCGGACUGUCUUGCCUCAUUACACACACCUGGUUCCCAUUCCCCCUGAUUA